AGCGAACGCUGGCGGCAGGCCUAACACAUGCAAGUCGAACGGACCCUUCGGACUUAGUGGCGGACGGGUGAGUAACACGUGGGAACGUACCUUUUGGUUCGGAACAACUCAGGGAAACUUGAGCUAAUACCGGAUGAGCCCUUAGGGGGAAAGAUUUAUCGCCGAAAGAGCGGCCCGCGUUAGAUUAGCUAGUUGGUGAGGUAAAGGCUCACCAAGGCUACGAUCUAUAGCUGGUCUGAGAGGAUGAUCAGCCACACUGGGACUGAGACACGGCCCAGACUCCUACGGGAGGCAGCAGUGGGGAAUCUUGCGCAAUGGGCGAAAGCCUGACGCAGCCAUGCCGCGUGAAUGAUGAAGGUCUUAGGAUUGUAAAAUUCUUUUACCAGGGACGAUAAUGACAGUACCUGGAGAAAAAGCCCCGGCUAACUUCGUGCCAGCAGCCGCGGUAA
rnacentral:rRNA from 1 species